GAAAUGCGAUAAGUAAUGUGAAUUGCAGAAUUCAGUGAAUCAUCGAAUCUUUGAACGCACAUUGCGCCCCCUGGCAUUCCGGGGGGCAUGCCUGUUCGAGCGUCAUUACACCACUCAAGCCUGGCUUGGUAUUGAGCGCCGCGGCCUGCCCGCGCGCUCCAAUGUCUCCGGCUGAGCCGUCCGUCUCUAAGCGUUGUGAAUAGCGAUCGCUUGCGAGGCCCGGGCGGUUCGACGCCGUUAAACCCCCCAUUUUCAAUGGUUGACCUCGGAUCAGGUAGGGAUACCCGCUGAACUUAAGC
rnacentral:misc_RNA from 1 species